CCCACUUUAAGGGCUAGAGCAGGCAGCCAGCAGGUGCCUGAUUAGGGUGGCCAUUUUAAUGCCCAGCUCUCAAGGCUGGGGCAGGAGUUUACUGCCAGCCAGCAAGGGAGAAACAUCACCUGGCUCAGCUAAUGCUCUAGGAACAUCUCAGAGUUUCUUUAAGAUUAAGCAAGAUGUACAGUGGACGCUUAUGUGGUUUCUUCCUCACAUGGCAAGAUCCAGUGAAGGGGCUUGCAUUGCGUUAUUGCCACUUGAGCCACCCGUGGACUAUGCUCCGUCUGAACUGAGGAGGCGUACUGUGCAUCAGUUAUUCCACCUGCAUUUCACUGGAUGCUCCACCUGAAUAUUCCUGCAUGCCCCCGAUGGUGAAGAGGGGCAGUUGACAUUUUGACAAGCUUCCUGACAUUGUAUUAGCAUUACGCCAUCUCUGUUACCGAGAGCUCAAGGAUAGAUCCAUCCACUGUGUUGUCAAGACCUUCUAGUUCCGUGUCCUUUCUGGACGAAAAUAAAAACCCCAUUUGUCCAUAAAUCUGACAGAUGGUGGCAUCCUUUACCUCUCCCUGUACCAGGCUAGAGAGCUUAAGCUACAGGGAAUACUUGUCCCCUCAAAGGGCAGGCUCUGGGAACAUGGUCUGCUCUUCUUUGUGGAGUGUCUGCAUCAGAGAUCGCAGCAAAUCAUGUCUACUUUCUCCUGGGGCUUCUCAGCUACUCUGAGACUACACUGGCUGUAGGCUUUGCUGAAUUGGAACACACCCGUAUUUGAACUGCAUUAGUCCCAAGGUCCUAUAGUAAAGGGGAACUGGCAAUACACUUGUGCUGUGAAGCAACUCCUGUGGCUGGGCCUGUAUCAGAACUAGGGCAGACCUUGCAAUAAAGUUUAACUCACUGGCAACUGCAGCUAGAAAUAGGCCCUUGAUUUAGCCCUGCCCAGGCAGCUCAAGACUCUUUCCCCAAGCCUAACUUCUGUAACACAACUUUUCCCCUUUAUGUUUGUGCUCCAAAUUAUCCAGAAAGAUUCCUUUGCCACUUCUACACUGUGAUCAGAACUGGUUAAACCAAACAAAGGCAAAAGCACCUUACCUGUACCUCCACCAACAUACACCUUCUUUCUAGCACAAGAGAAGGGGAACAGAAUCUAGCCCUUAGUUAGUAGAUCUUAGGCACGUUUCCCACCUUCCCAAAGAGUGCAUCUACAAUAGAUUUACAGGCAGCUGCACCAACGCAUUUCAAAGUCACCCUUGUACUAUAAGGAGAGUUCCUCAAGAGACUCCAAAGGUCAUAGCUUUCUUUUUUUUCCAGGCUGUUGGCACUUCAGGUUUUUAUACUGUGACUGGAAUUUACAACAGUAUGGAAAUACCUGAGCGGACAGGGAAACAACCCAGUGAGUUAGUGUUGAAAUGGGCUAGGGAGGUAAUGACACCACUGACUGUCCUGUAAUUAAGCACCGCAAUUAAGGUUUAUUUGGCACAGAAGGUCCCAAGCACUAAGCAUGUGGAAAUAAUAUAAUCCUUGUGUUAUUCCAGGGCUCAUUUAAGAACCCAUGGCAGACACAGUCCGCUUGGCAUUGCAAAUCAAACCAGUGAAUUAUAAUCACACACUUUGGAUUCAGGCUGAAAUGCAGUCCUGCCUGUGUAUCUGAGGGAACUGGGCCCAAUCUCAUAGGAAGAGAAACUCACCUUCCUCUGGGGCCGGUUUACAGCAACAAUUUCCCAUUGUUACCACUGCCCAGUGAAGGAGCCAUGCAAGAAGUUCUUACUGCCACAUCAAUGUCUGCUUGGUCCCCGGGGACAGGGCUGCGUUAACCCUUCAGUGAGCCCGAGGCAAACAAACUCAUGGGCCCCUACUUAAUACUGUAUACUUAAGUUAUUAAAAUGGAGUGAAAAAAACGAUGUAAAAUAACAUAAGCGACUGGUCCGGGGUCUGACAGCCGACACUGAAGCUGUCAGCAGGGCUGGUGCCCCUGCUGACAGGGCCGCCACCCUCAGCGGGUGCCCCUCCAGAUUCAGGCGGCCCCCGUCACUCAUGUAAAAUAAGCACCCCUGCACCCUUCUGCACCCUAUCCCUGUUAACCAGGCCCUGCUUGGGGACUACACACAGCGCAGCAGGCUGUGCGCUUGGGGCUCCCAGGACUCUGCCAGACUCAGGUCAUCUGCAGGGAACCUCUUAAAGACAGUGUCGCCCCGAGCAGGGGGGAGCCUCGUGCUGCAUGAAGCCCAUGAGCUGGCUGUUACGAGGCAGGGAUCAGCCUGUCCCCCACCGCAGGUUUCUUCCCCGGGGGAAGAGCUAGAG